UUCUUUGAUCAGUUUUCGUAGCAUCCAAGCUAUAUUAAUCAAAAGUCUUGGAUCACUAUCCUUCAACGCCAUAGUCUUUUAUUUUUAUCCUCAGCUAUCACCAGCUCACCGCCAUGUUUUCAUAUAUAUCAGAUUCAUCAUUCAUCACUUUCCUAUACUGCCUGUAUAAUUUUCAAAACUCAAGCAAGAAUCAUGUCUUCGUCUUUCACUGCGCAUCUUCAAAAUGGUGCGGCGCGACUAGGACAUGGAUUUUAAUUUGAAUUAUCAGAGUUAGCAUUCAAGUUCAAGUUUAAGUUAUAUCGCUAGGGGCCCGCUCAAUGGGUCCAGGACUUCACCGUCCUUGGUAUGCCACAAUGCGAUUUCAUGUUACAGUAAGGGUUGCAACCUAUUCGCCAGGGGCCCGCUCAAUGGGUCCAGGACAUUAAAGUCCUUGGUAUGCCACCGUGCGAAUUUCAGUUAUCAGUACAGUGCAGUGCGUAUGUGUUGACCAUUUUAUUAACGUGGACAAUGAUUGCAUGUUUCCCACACUGAGUAUAUUCUGUAUGCUCAUCCCAUAUUAAACAUUUUCAUGUAUUUUUUUUUACGUUGGAGACGCGUGGAAGGUCGAAUGGGCGCAUCAAGUCAUUUAUCAAGUAGUUGAUUUGAUUUUUCAACUAAUUUAAGUAUUUAAAGUUUUGCUUAGCACAAUUUUUACUUAAUACUUAGGUAUUUUGAUGACAUCAUUAUGUCAUGCUUUGAAACAAGAGAUUAAUUGUCGAUUUUAACUCAAAGUUAGUCUUUGAGUAUAUUAUUUAAAAGUUGAUAUCCUUUU